AGAGUUUGAUCAUGGCUCAGGAUGAACGCUGGCGGUAUGCUUAACACAUGCAAGUCGAACGGGGAACUUCGGUUUCUAGUGGCGGACGGGUGAGUAACGCGUGAGAAUCUGCCUUCAGGACGGGGACAACAGUUGGAAACGGCUGCUAAAACCCGAUGUGCCUACGGGUGAAAUAUUAAUAGCCUGGAGAGGAGCUCGCGUCUGAUUAGCUAGUUGGUUGGGUAAUGGCUGACCAAGGCGACGAUCAGUAACUGGUCUGAGAGGAUGACCAGUCACACUGGGACUGAGACACGGCCCAGACUCCUACGGGAGGCAGCAGUGGGGAAUUUUCCGCAAUGGGCGCAAGCCUGACGGAGCAAUACCGCGUGAGGGAGGAAGGCUCUUGGGUCGUAAACCCCUUUUAUCAGGGAAGAACACAAUGACGGUACCUGAUGAAUCAGCAUCGGCUAACUCUGAGCCAGCCGCCGCGGUAAUAC
rnacentral:rRNA from 1 species